rnacentral:rRNA from 1 species
GAUGAACGCUGGCGGCGUGCCUAAUACAUGCAAGUCGAGCGAACAGACGAGGAUCUUGCUCCUCUGACGUUAGCGGCGGACGGGUGAGUAACACGUGGAUAACCUACCUAUAAGACUGGGAUAACUUCGGGAAACCGGAGCUAAUACCGUAUAAUAUCUUGAACCGCAUGGUUCAAUAGUGAAAUACGGUUUUUCUGUCACUUAUAGAUGGAUCCGCGCCGCAUUAGCUAGUUGUUAAGUUAACGGCUUACCAAGGCAACGAUGCGUAGCCGACCUGAGAGGGUGAUAGGCCACACGGGAACGGAGACACGGUCAAGACUCCUACGGGAGGCAGCAGUAGGGAAUCUUCCGCAAUGGGCGAAAGCUUGACGGAGCAACGCCGCGUGAGUGAUGAAGGUCUUCGGAUCGUAAAACUCUGUUAUUAGGGAAGAACAAAUGUGUAAGUAACUAUGCACGGCUUGACGGUACCUAAUCAGAAAGCCACGGCUAACUACGUG